rnacentral:rRNA from 1 species
GGAUAACUAUUGGAAACGAUAGCUAAUACCGCAUAAUAUUGAUUAUUGCAUGAUAAUUGAUUGAAAGAUGCUAUUGCAUCACUACCAGAUGGACCUGCGUUGUAUUAGCUAGUAGGUGAGGUAACGGCUCACCUAGGCGACGAUACAUAGCCGACCUGAGAGGGUGAUCGGCCACACUGGGACUGAGACACGGCCCAG